rnacentral:lncRNA from 1 species
CCUCUCUCCUAAUUGUGUCUCACAGAUGCAUAGUGAGGAGGUUAUUCAGCUUGUAUUUACAUCAUUACCCAUCUACCAUCAGAGUGUAUUGCUAACUGGUUCUCCUUACAAAUGCUUGUUGUGUUUGUUUUGUGUUUUUAAUUUUAUGUUCCACUGCUUGUCUACUUUUUCAUUGUUUUUAAUCCAAACUUCUACUUCAGCCUCUGCUCAUGAAGUCUCCCUCUCCCGAGUCCUUUGGGCUGCAAUAAUCAGACUCAAGCUGAGUGGAGACACACACUGAACAGAUGACAUGCCAGCCAAACUUGCCCCAAAAGUUGGGGAGGGAAAUGGUGCUCAACUGAAGGCAGCUGCUCUUGGGAGAGUCUUGACAGAGACCUCUGCAGCGAUAGUGCCUGGCAUCAGUGAUUGACGGGGAGCCAUCUGAUCAACUUUUGUUUCUGAAGGAAAACCCUGAGGAAACUCACUACCAUCCUCAGUGGCUGGUGGAUGGAUAAAGAGGUGGAAAGCAAGUUGGUAAGACUGCGGAUGGUCUUUCUUUUUCUCUUUCUUUUCCUUGUUUCCUCUCUCUUUUUUUCUCUUUCUUUCUUUCUUUUCUUUCUUUCUCUGUCUCUCGCUCUGUCUUUCUUUCUUUUCUUUUCUUUUUUUUGACAGAGUCUCACUCUGUUGCCCAGGCUGGAGUGCAGUGCUGCAAUUCAGGCUGACUGCAACCUCUGCCUCCCGGGUUUAAGCGAUUCUCCUGCCUCAGCCUCCUGAGUAGCUGGGACUAUAGGCGCCCACCACCAUGCCCAGCUCAUGUUUGUAUUUUUAGUAGAAAUGAGACUUCGUCAUGUUGGCCAGGCUGGUCUCAAACUCCUGACCUCAAGUGAUCCCCCCGCCUCGGCCUCCCAAAGUGCUGGGAUUACAGGUGUGAGUCACCGUGCCCAGCCAGAUGGUCUUUCUAACCAAACAACAGGGUAGCUGCAGGUCUCAGACCUUCUGUUUCUGCUUAACUGGUUGUAAAGAAUAUUCAUAUUGGUGGAACGAGAGGAAUGAGAAGGGUGGCUGUUUGCUUUCUGUGUGUGUAACAGAGAUGUAGAUGGUGGCUGUGUUACAUGAGAGAGGCCCAGAGGGCAGGAGAGAAGGAAGUGUCCAUGCUCACUAUUGCAAUUUAGUGUCUUAAGAUUCGUAUUUUGUUAAUUAUUUUGCUUGGUGAAAGUGACUUAACAUGUUUGAGCCAUAAGAAGAGACAACCAGAAAUGUGAUAAAGCCAAGAAAACUAUAGCAAAUGAUACUCUUGUGACAAGUCCUCCCCAUAAUGCCACACUGUUUUCCUCAAAUCCCCUCAAAGCACAUGGCAAAAGACAAAACUCCUGUCAACAAUUUCAGCUGCAAGUGAGAAUGAGAGGUUGGGAAAAUUUAUACAAUAGUAUGGUUCUCUCAGUUGUAUUCUUUGGUUAAAAUAUUGUCUUAAACUUCAACAGGCCACACUGUUUGUUUCAGUGUGGUUGAGAAAGAUGAAAAAUCAAAGCCAUUUCCUUUUACAAAAGCUUUCUGGAGGGCUGCUGAGGGUUACUUACCUUUGGGGGUGGCCCUUUGAAGGGAGACUGAGGAAGUGUAAUGGAAGGAACCAUGUGAGCAUUGGCCUGUCUGAGAAGUUAUCCAUGCUUUCCCUACAACCCCUCACCUGCAAGACGCCUCUAAGAGCUAUAAAAUCUUUCCCUCCCUUCUCUCCAACAGUCACAGACAGAGAUUGGCACUUCCUACAAGGCAGGCUUUCCAUCAUGUAGUUUGUAGAUUGUGUAAGUGGUUCUGAGAUGUGAAAUGCUCUAAAUCUCAUUUCCCCAUCAUUUUCCAAAAGUAUUUUUCUAGGUGAGAUUUCUAUCUCAUAGAUGGCAUUGAUAUCUCAAUGCAAGGACAGGAGCAACUCAUGCUGCCUGCUUUGACCACCCUCCCCCACACUUCAUCACCAUCCCUGCCUAACCCCUGGAGCAACUGUCCCUAAAGGGCCAUGGUGGUGGGGCCCCUGGCCUCAGAGCCUCCCCGCGUCCCCAGGCAGCUGUGGCAGAGCCCUGAACAUCACUCCUUCGGUGAUCCUUGGUCUCUCCUUCUCACCUGUAUGGGAAAAGAGACUUGGGCUGAGAAAUGCAUUCAGAUUUUUUCUGGCCUGUGGACUGUUUUCUUUCUAUGGUCUGAGUGUGUAGAGUGAGCAGAAACUAUGAAGAGCCAUGAGCAGUUCCGGGGGAGCAGCUGCGAGCAUCAUGGAAGGCCUCUGCCCUGUCGGAGAAGCCGGGAUCCUCUUCAGCUUGGACACUACAUCAGUGACACUGGCAUCUCCCCCAUGCCAGAAUUGCCGUCCACGCUAAGCCUUUUGCCCACAUCUCUACUGUUUAGAGACGGAACUGAGGUCUCAGACAUCUCUGAGGUGUCCAGAUUAAUCAGGAGACCAUUGUAGAUGAGGCAUCGCUCUAGGACCUGGUACCUGCUUGUGCUUUGUCCAGAACUGAGCUCAGAACUUGCCCAGUUCUACCACAUGUCUGAAAACUUCUUCCUUCCUGUCCACAUCAUUCCGUAGUUGUCUCUGAGAUAUGUCUAUUUACAAGAAGAUACUCUGAAAAGGGCCAAGUCAGAAAUGACAUCUUGAUGUAUCCAGCCAGCCAGCAGUCUCAGUAGCCACUAAAAAAUUAGGCUGUUACCUGGAUGCUUCAUCUACAUAACAAGAAUCUUGGCUUCCACAAUCCCUCCUCAUCUUAACUCAAGCAUUUCUUUGUAUUGACUUCAAGUCUUCAAACAAAGCUUAACUCUUUCAACCAAUUACCAAUCAGAAAAUCUUUGAAUCUGCCUAUGAUCUGGGAGCUCCACCUGCUUCAAAAUAUCCCACUUCUUUAGGCUGAACCAAUGUAUACCUUUCAUGUAUUGGUUUAUGAUGUUACCUACAAUUCCUGUCCCCUAAAAUGUAUAAAACCAGCCUGUAACCUGACUACCUCAGGCACACUUUCUCAGUACCUCUUGAGACUAUUCCCCAGGCCAUAGUCACUCACAUUGGCUCAGAAUAAACCUCUUUAAAUAUUUUACAGAAUUUUUUUAUUUUGCUUUUUCCCCCUUGUCAACAACACUUAGCUAUCUCUUUUGCCCAUUUCUAAGAAGGAUCAUUUUUCUGGCAGUCAGCUAAAGCCAACUAGUCAUAUUGUGAUUUCAGAGGAAGAGAAAAAGUAGUUGGAGGAAAAAUCAGGUGGAUCAAAUCCACACGUGCCUGGGCUAAGUAAAGCAAAGACUGAAAUUCAGGAACAUUCAGAAUCCUACAAAUUUAGAGCUAGAUAGGGCUUUAGAGAUCACCUAAGACUUUCAGUUUACAGAAAAUAAGUCUUAGACUGCCUUCUUGGCAAUCGAAAGAGGAUGUUAAACCACUGCUCAGGGUCCUUAGGCUUCUGGAGUCUGCCUCAGGAAACUUAUUGCCUCCUUGGUAUAAAGAAUUUCCUUUUUCCUUCCUCAUUCACACUCUGUGCUACCUAUGAAAUGUUUCAUCUUUUAUUGAGGAAUAAUCAGAAUCACAAUGCACAGAAAAUGUAUCAUUUAUUAGGUUAAUAUAUCUCUUUUUAACCAUGAAUGCACACUCUAAAAUUUUUCUUAGAGAGGAGUAGGAUAUUUAAAAUGGUUUUUAAAGUAAACAUUUUUGUAUUUCAAAUAAAUGACAUGGAAUAGUAUGGAAAAAAUAGCUUUAUAGGUGGGUAAUAGGAUUCAAACAUCAAACUAUGUCUUUGACCAGAGAGAGGAAUAACCUCUACACCUUGGUGCCCCCACUCCCAAGUUCAGGUCCUAGAUCUUUGGAACAAUUUUGUUGGGUUGGCAAUCCAGCAUUUGUCUAUAUCCUAAACAGAGAAACUAGUCCCCAAAACUGUCAUAUAAUUGAAAAGAACAAAAUGCUCAGGAAAAAUAAAACAUCUCAUUUUCAUUUCUGUUUUAUCUUUUAUUUCCAAAAGGAGUGCUCUUUAAAAUUUAUCUUUUCCCACAUAUUUUUAUGUAUAACUCACUCAGAUCUGGGGAUCUGGGGUAGUGUCUAUAUUACCAACUCCUGCACAUUCAAUAAUGAUUAAACACAGAAUCGUGUAGCUCUGUGUCAUUAUAUGUAUGUUAUGUAAUUGGUAGAUUAAAGAUAUUUAUUAAUUAAAAUUAUAUUGAUGCCAGUAGGAACAAGCAGCUUCUCAAAAUUUAUAGCUCAUAAAAAGUCAAAUUCUGAUUACUAUAAUUAUUUCUUUCAAAAUGUAAAGUACACGAAUUAUUCACAUAAAUGAGUGAAAAACAGAAAAAAGCAGCGGAAAAUGAACCUUAUUUUUCAUCUUGACAUUGUCUUCAAGUCUUAGGCUAAAUUGCUAUUAUUUCAUUUUGUGAAAUUGAGCUCACGUCUGUCAAUACUUUAGAGGUGUGAAUAGAAUGAACAAAGCUGAGUGGUCACCCCAAAUUCAAUUUGGAAACUUCAUGAGGAGAAAUAUUUAUGUAAAUAUAGAGUUCUGAAGGAGCUGAUGUUUGUUUCUUGGGUAUUUUGAGCGUUUCUUUCUGAACACCUCUCAUUAUGUCUACAUCCGUUGCUCCCACCACCCUCAUCCACAAUAAUUAUUACGAAGAACAAAGAACUGAAGCCUGCCUUCCUGUCACAGCAUUCACCAUCUUAAUACCUUGCUUUUAGAGAGGGAUUUUCAUUUGCACAGCACUUUCCAUAAGGUUCUGUCCUUGGAGCUUCACAGCUAGCCUCCCUGGGAGAUAAGGUAGGUAUUGCCAACUCCCUACAGGGGAGCUGAGCUGUUCAGGGACUGCACAAGGCCACAUUUCCAGGAAAUAAUAGAGCUGGAAGUUCAGCCCAUGUCUUCUCAUUUCAAAUCUUACAUCCUUAUCAGAAAUUGUCAUUGAAAAUGAUUAAAUUGUGAAUAAAUAUUUGUGACUGUUAGCAUUCUCUAGCCUUGGUUUUUAUGAUAAGUUCCAGGGAUCAAUACUUGCUAGCUAUAGGCUCACCACAGAAAACAGUGCAGUUGUUUUACCCCUAAAAUGCAGUAAAG